UGAUAGCUAGUUUACACAAAAUAAAUGAUUUCGACUCAUUAGAUUAUGAUUUACUCAUAGCUAUCAA
rnacentral:tRNA from 1 species